GCCCGGUUAGCUCAGUCGGUAGAGCAUCAGACUUUUAAUCUGAGGGUCAAGGGUUCGAGUCCCUUACCGGGCG
rnacentral:tRNA from 1 species